CCUAGGGUGGCUGCAGUGGGGAAUAUUGGACAAUGGGCGAAAGCCUGAUCCAGCCAUGCCGCGUGUGUGAAGAAGGCCUUCGGGUUGUAAAGCACUUUCAGUGGGGAAGAAAGCCUUGGGACUAAUACCCUCGAGGAAGGACAUCACCCACAGAAGAAGCACCGGCUAACUCCGUGCCAGCAGCCGCGGUAAUACGGAGGGUGCGAGCGUUAAUCGGAAUUACUGGGCGUAAAGCGCGCGUAGGCGGUCUGAUAAGCCGGUUGUGAAAGCCCCGGGCUCAACCUGGGAACGGCAUCCGGAACUGUCAGGCUAGAGUGCAGGAGAGGAAGGUAGAAUUCCCGGUGUAGCGGUGAAAUGCGUAGAGAUCGGGAGGAAUACCAGUGGCGAAGGCGGCCUUCUGGACUGACACUGACGCUGAGGUGCGAAAGCGUGGGUAGCAAACAGGAUUAGAUACCCCUGUAGUC
rnacentral:rRNA from 1 species